CGUAUUAUGGAGAAGGUGCUCUGGAUGGUCCUAACACGCUCAUAAACAUGGAUGUGCCUUGCUACCCUCCGGGUGAUGUUCCUAAGACGGGAACCAAAUGAAGAAUCGGUGAAGGGUACAACCAAUAAAGAUGAUGCCGGGAACUUGAUGACCUCUGAUAGCAAUGUUAUCGGUGCUCCACCUCCGGAGAAAGCAUGUGGAAGAUCAUUUCCUUUGUUCUCUGAAUUACAUGCACUUUGGUGAACAAAAAGUAUGAUUGGUGUUCCUGGUGAAAAUGAGUGAAGCUAGAAGAUGCUAUGAGAAGGAACUUGCCAAGACUAUUUGAAGAACAGCCUGAUCUCCUGCAUGAGGGUAACAUUUUUAUUUUGUGUAAUGACCUAGUAAUUAUGAUAACAUGAACUCAUUGUUUGCAACGUAACCUAGUAAAUGCUUUUAGGAACUAGAGUUCAUGUGGACUGGAAACUACUUAGCAUCCUUCAAUGAAUCAAAGAGAGCAUUAUGCAUUUUUCUUCA